rnacentral:lncRNA from 1 species
UCCGCUCCGGUCGCCCGCGCAGAACCAGCUCCCCAAGCCGCCCGGGCGGCGGGCAAGGGGCGAGCGGGCUUAGGCGAGCCCGAGGAGGCGCAGGCCUGGCCCGGGCCCCGCGGGUCAGUGUGAAGGUCUGUGAGGCUGUUACCAGCACUGUGCUGGGCUACAAAAAAGGAGAGGAGCCUGUCCAGAAUCCCCACAGGACAGGAGAAGGAGGGAACAUCUCAACAUGGAAAAACUCUGCAAUGAAAAUGAAGGAAAGCCUGAGAACCAUGGAAAGAUGGAAGAGGAAGAAGAGCCACUGGAUGCGGGAAAGCCAGGAGUAGCUUGUGCCGUGGCAGACAAAGAAAAGUUAGAAAACAAGGGAAGGACAGAUCACAGGGGAAAGCCAGAAGAUGAGGAAGUUCUAAAGGAUAAGGAAAAGCCAGAGAGUGAGGCAAAGCCCAAAGAAGGAAAGCCAGAGAGCCAGGGAAAGCCAGUGGGCGAGGGCAAACCAAAAGAAGGAAAAGCAGAGAGUGAGGCAAAGCCAGAGAGCCAGGGAAAGCCAGUGGCGAGGGCAAACCAAAAGAAGGAAAAGCAGAGAGUGAGGCAAAGCCAGAGAGCCAGAGAAAGCCAGUGAGUGAGGGCAAGCCCAAAGAAGAAAAGCCAGCCAGCGAGCCAAUGGCUGCAGGAAAGCGCCCAGCUGGGGAUGAUAUACCCAGGAAGGCCAAAAGAAAAACCAACAAGGGGCUGGCUCAGUGUCUCAAGGAAUACAAGGAGGCCAUACACGAUAUGCAUUUGAGCAAUGAGGAGAUGAUAAGAGAAUUUGACGAGAUGGCCAGAGUGGAGGAUGAGGUGAAGAAAACCAGACAGAAAUUGGGGGGUUUUAUGUGGAUGCAAAAAAGUUUACAGGACCCCUUCCACCCCAGGGGCCCAAGGGAACUCAGGGGUGGCUGCAGGGCCCCACAGAGGGGUUUUGAAGACAUUCCUUUUGUGUAGUGCCCCUGGCAGGUCUUUAUUAGGCCUUGUGCUUUAAGGUUUUGCUGAUACUUUGCUCGAGGUGUCAAUCUUGUUAUCAACAAUGUUUUUACCCAUAGAGGAUUUUCCCCCAUGUGCAUUACAAAGACGUUAUGAUUUUUGGAAAAAUAAAGCAGCUUAUGAUAUC